rnacentral:rRNA from 1 species
UACGUAGGGGGCAAGCGUUACUCGGAAUUACUGGGCGUAAAGCGUGCGUAGGUGGUGAGUUAAGUCUGUCGUGAAAGCCCCCGGGCUCAACCUGGGAAUGGCGAUGGAUACUGGCUCGCUAGAGUGCGGUAGAGGAGAGUGGAAUUCCCGGUGUAGCAGUGAAAUGCGUAGAGAUCGGGAGGAACAUCAGUUGCGAAGGCGGCUCUCUGGACCAGUACUGACGCUGAGGCACGAAGGUCAGGGGAGCAAACGGG